rnacentral:lncRNA from 1 species
UUUUAUUAGUGUCUCGUCUAAUUACAAGAGUCCCUGUAGUAUUUCUUCCUUAAUUGAUCUCCCUCAGAAAGUUUAAUACCACAGGAAUGGCUGUUAAGUUUUUGAAACAUAGAAACCGAGGUUGUCUCACCUCUUACACGCUAGGGUUAUGGUUGUGAGCCACCUCACCAGGCUUUGAUUUGUCUUUUCUAUAUAAAAAGUACUGUUUGUUUUUCUCAUAUCAGAACAUUUAACUACUUUCGGCUCAGUUUAAGGAUGAUUUUACGUUGUCGAGAAAAGAUGUUUGUUCAUUUGGAGGGAUGUAGCAAAAAUUCCACAAACUGGGUAGUUUAUUUCUGUACAGGAAAAGCCCAGUGCCCUGGUUCUGGCAGAUUCAGUGUCUAAUGAAGCACUUUUCAUUGUUUUAGAUGGUUGUGUUCUUGUUGUGUGCUCACAUGGUAGAAGGUGGGAAGGCAUCUAUCCACCCGGAGGUAUGAUGUCACCUAUGGUCUAAUCAAUACCUGGAAGGGUCAGCCUUCCUACGCUCAGUUUUCAGCACUUUACUUUGCACAGAGCAGGGCAUUCGGAGCAUACGGGUACUUUCACUUUCAGAUGAAACUUGACUUGGUUCAAGUGUGUGCGUCAACUGUAUGUAUGUGCUCAUCUGCAGAUGAGAUGUGGGUGUGCAUGCUCUGUGUAUUCCUGGAUCGCCCUUUGUAUCAUAUUUUGACAAAAAUCUUCCUAAAUCAGAAUGUACACAUCUCUGCUUUUUACAACUGAAUCUGAGAACAUAGAGAAUUCAUGAUGACACAAGAGUCACUUACCUCAAGCUUUCGUGGUGUUCCUUUUAGGGUUCUUGACGCAGGAUUGUUGGCCUUGACAUUACUGACAUCCCAUCAUUCCCUUUUCUUUCCCUUGUUGGUUGAUUUUUCUUUUCAGUGGUUUGGCUGGCUUCUGUUAUCCAUUUGUCUUUCCUGCCUGCAGUUCUAUCUUCUCUUGGGCUCCAUUUCUAUAUAUCUACUCACUUAGUGCUAGCAGUUUCCAUAUGGUUAACAUGUUAAACACAGGCUUGGGAGUUCAAUACCUAUUGCAAUCUAACAGUAUGUGAAACCCCUUAAGGACAACACUUUAAAAGUUAUAAUAAGUUAUUAUUAUGUAGCAUGUGUAAAUAAUUUAAAUCUUGUCCAUCCAUCGGCAUUUAUAUUCAGAGAAAGAACUUUAGGCCGCAGAAUUACACUUUUAUAGCUUCGUCCAUGCCUGUACAGCAGAGAUCAAGUUCCCAGCACCCAUAACCAUUGGUAACUCCAUUCCCGGGAAUGUCAACAUCUUCUUCUGACAACCACUGGCACUAGGUCCACGUGUCGGCAAAACGCACAUAAAGAAGAAAGAAAGAAAUAUAAGCAUU